GUGUGUGUGUGUGUGGUCCAGCUGCCGGUGGUGAUGCGUAUCCCACAGUUCUCUGCGCUGGCUCAGAAUCUGUGUAUGAUGCAGUUCUCCAUCCUGGGAUACGGUGACAUCAUCAUACCAGGUCUGCUGGUGGCCUACUGUCACAGGUUUGACGUGUGGAUGGGGAACUCCAGAAGAGUCUACUUCAUCUCCUGCACCGUGGCGUACGCCGUGGUCUGCUGCUGACCUUCGUUGUGAUGCUGUUGUCUCAGAUGGGUCAGCCAGCGCUGCUGUACCUGGUUCCCUGUACGCUCCUGACCAGCUCCGUCCUCGCGGCGUCCGCAAGGAGUUCACACACUUCUGGAGCGGCUCGGGGACGUAUCAGGUCCUGGACGAGUCUAGGAAGCCCUUGUUAUCAGAGGGAGACGCCGGACGCACCGCUGGACUGAGGAGCUGCUGAGACUCACACUGACCAGUGUUUCCUGUGACACACAGCUGGAUCUGAUGAGAGUCGUGUGUGUGUGUGUGUGUGUGUGUGUGUGUGUGUGUGACCGAUCAUCAUCACACUGGGACACUUUACUAAAACAUCAGACUGUCUGAAAAUUACUCUAUAAGGGGCCUUAACCAGAUCAACCUGCUGUUUUUUGUCUUUCACUUUUUUAAUGUAAUCAUUUUUUAAUUUUGGGGAUAUUUGACAAAAACCUGAUGACCAGUCUAACUCUCUUUCUCUGUAAUCUGAAUAAAUACAAAUCUGAAAACUG